GGUUCUGUGGUGUAGUGGUUAUCACGUUUGCUUUACACGCAAAAGGUCCCCGGUUCGAUCCCGGGCAGAACCA
rnacentral:tRNA from 1 species